rnacentral:rRNA from 11 species
AGGGUCGUAAAGCUCUUUCGCCAGGGAUGAUAAUGACAGUACCUGGUAAAGAAACCCCGGCUAACUCCGUGCCAGCAGCCGCGGUAAUACGGAGGGUGCGAGCGUUAAUCGGAAUUACUGGGCGUAAAGCGCACGCAGGCGGUUUGUUAAGCUAGAUGUGAAAGCCCCGGGCUCAACCUGGGAUGGUCAUUUAGAACUGGCAGACUAGAGUCUUGGAGAGGGGAGUGGAAUUCCAGGUGUAGCGGUGAAAUGCGUAGAUAUCUGGAGGAACAUCAGUGGCGAAGGCGACUCCCUGGCCAAAGACUGACGCUCAUGUGCGAAAGUGUGGGUAGCGAACAGGAUUAGAUACCCUGGUAGUCCAUGCCGUAAACGGUGGGCGCUAGGUGUAGGGGUCUUCCACGACUUCUGUGCCGUAGCUAACGCAUUAAGCGCCCCGCCUGGGGAGUACGGC